GACGAACGCUGGCGGCGUGCUUAACACAUGCAAGUCGAGCGGUAAGGCCUGCUUCGGUGGGUACACGAGCGGCGAACGGGUGAGUAACACGUGGGUGACCUGCCCUCAGCUCUGGGAUAAGCCUGGGAAACUGGGUCUAAUACUGGAUAGUCACUGCUGGUUGCAUGGCUGGUGGUGGAAAGUUUUUUCGGCUGGGGAUGGGCCCGCGGCCUAUCAGCUUGUUGGUGGGGUGAUGGCCUACCAAGGCGACGACGGGUAGCCGGCCUGAGAGGGCGACCGGCCACACUGGGACUGAGACACGGCCCAGACUCCUACGGGAGGCAGCAGUGGGGAAUAUUGCGCAAUGGGCGGAAGCCUGACGCAGCGACGCCGCGUGGGGGAUGACGGCCUUCGGGUUGUAAACCUCUUUCGACCGGGACGAAGCUUGGGUGACGGUACCGGUAGAAGAAGCACCGGCCAACUACGUGCCAGCAGCCGCCGUAAAAC
rnacentral:rRNA from 1 species